rnacentral:rRNA from 1 species
GCGAGAAAACUUUACAAGGCUGGCAACAGCGAUAAGGGAACCUCGAGUGCCAGGUUACAAAUCUGGCUGUCGAGAUGCCUAAAAAGCAUUUCAUAGCAAGGGCCGGGCAAGACCGGUGCCAGCCGCCGCGGUAACACCGGCGGCUCGAGUGGUAACCGUUAUUAUUGGGUCUAAAGGGUCUGUAGCCGGCCGGAUAAGUCUCUUGAGAAAUCUGGCAGCUUAACUGUCAGGCUUUCAGGAGAUACUGUCUGGCUCGAGGGCGGGAGAGGUGAGAGGUACUUCAGGGGUAGGGGUGAAAUCUUGUAAUCCUUGAAGGACCACCAGUGGCGAAGGCGCCUCACCAGAACGGACCUGACGGCAAGGGACGAAAGCUAGGGGUACGAACC